rnacentral:lncRNA from 1 species
UUUCUUUUCUUUUCUUUUUUUUUUUUUUUUCCCCUUGGAUUUAUUUUCGUUCACGAAAUUUAUCUUGAGAUUUCAGUCAUCGUCCAGGGACAAUACCACAACUGGGCGUUUGUCAAGAGAGGCUGACGACCACCGCGUGGGACGGGGUCUCACACGCGAUCAGCGUGAGGAGACGGCCCGUCGGCGGCCACAGACGCCGGGUUUCCGUGGGCAGAUUCGCCUGGGCUGAACCGGCUGCUCCGCCGCCAGAUGGACGUCGUCGCCCCGACCGACCGACCGGAGAGCGUCUGAGGAUCCCGGGCCCGCGUGCUGCGGAAGUUCCCGCGCACUCCCCAGGCGCCGGCGGCUCGCGUUCGCCCUGAAUUCCAUGGGAAGGCUGAAGUGCAUAUGCUCCAGUUUUCCAGCCUGAUGAAGCAGCCCGGGCCUAUUUUUAAGCCAUGACCUUUGAAAUCGACUGUUUUUGUCUCCUCGAGGUGACUUCAGAUAUCAUAUAGUCUUAAACCUCUAUGAGAAUUUAAAUAUCUGGUCAUCUGAGAAUACCUGAAACAUCUUUGGAAUAAUUCCUCUGUUCCUGUUUUAGAGCACUGCAUUGAUAAUGAUUCAGAGUUCUCCCGAAUCAUCGUAUCCCUCAUUGAACAGUUCACUAUUGAAGAGGUUUCUGCUUUGGUAUUUAUUAACGUCUUCUAGCAGUUCAAAGAGCUUUACAGACAUCGUCACACCCUUCUCAGAACUACCAAAUAACAGCAAGUUGUACUUUUAUUGUCAAAUAUGGGGAUGAAAACACAGGUUACGUUGUUGGAUAAUUGCAGAGAAUGAGGCAUCAAGGAAGCCAAGAGUGGAUCAGGAAGGAGGUCAAUAGGGUGGAAAUCUGCUGAGCCAUUCUAGAAGGCAAGAACUGCAAACCACUCUCCUGACUGAGUAACAGGAUGCUGAGGGUAAAACAGGAAUAAAGCAGUCACUGCACACAAGGAUCUGCCUAAAACAGAGAGAUACGAUAAUUAGAGACUAAUCACAAACUACAAUAUGUACGAGGCCAGAAAGUAUCACAGGGAUGCAAUAUCAUGUAAAUGUGGAUUUGUUGGUAGUACUUAUUGUAGCACAUUUGUAAGACUUCAGUGAGAAAUAUAGAUUCCAAAAGAAGGCAGAUGGGCGCUUCACCAGAUAAAAUCAAGGCUGGAUGAAGAGUUAGAAAAAAAAGACUCAAUCUUGGGGAUUUUUCUUUUUAUAACCACUUAAAGCAGUUAAAACUGUAAGAUUAAUCAUCUUUGUUUAUGAAAAAUCACUUGAAGAAUAUGUGUUUUCUCAAUUAAUCUUUCAUACUGUAAAAGCAGUGUGUGCCAUUGUAACAAAUGACAUAAUCCAAAAAAAGCAUAUGGACAGAAAGUUUCUUCCUACACUUCCCAAUUUCUACUCCACUUACUCCACUUACAGUAACCAGUUUAACUGCCUGAGUUGUGUAUCACUCUAACUUUAUACUUAUAAAAACAUAGCUAGUUUGCUUUUUUGGUGUACUUUUUUAACAUGAAUUCUAACAUAUUACCAGACCAUUGCUUUAUUCACUUUACAGUGUAUUAUCUGGCCAGGUCAAUAGGCAGAGACCUAACUCAGUCUUUUAACAGCUAACUCCGUAGAAUAGAUGACCCUACUAUAGAACCACUUGUUCCAUUAUUGAUCAACAUGUAAAUUGAUCUAGGCUUUUAUCACAACCAAUAGCACAGCAAUAAACAUCCUUAUGUGCAUAUCUUUAUCAUAUAAUACUUUUAUAUCCACAAGGAGAUUUCCAGUGGUGGGACCACUGAAUCGCAGAUACUUCCUAUUUCAAUAUAUAUUGCAUACUUUUUAUCCAAAGGGUUGUAACAAUUCACUCCUCCAUCAAACACAUACUGAGGAUGUCUGUCUCCCAUGUUGUCAUCAGGUACUAGGUCCCACUCCAUGUCAGCAGCUGAAGGAGGGGCAUAUUUAAGUAUCCUCAGACUGUUUGGAUCAACAGUUUGGUUUCCAUAUUGAAUCUAUCCUUACUUAUUGAACUAUCUUCUUUCCAUGCUCAUUUCACUUCUCUGGAUUGCAAAGGUGAGGGCACCUGUAGGCAACCAGAUUCUUGGCAGUUCUUGAUGUGUUUUCUCCCACAAAUACAGUUCUUAAAGGCAACCAAACUCGUAGAAAGAUGCCUGUGAACCUAAAAUCCACAUUUGACACCUUGCCUGACUUCUCAUAGUCUGUGAACACACGGACUUCUUCGAAUACCCCUAAUGAAACCUAGAGUAGACGAGGGGUGAACAACACAGAUCUGGACAUCAGACAGACUGGAAUUCAGACUCCAUCACUUUUUGUCCUGUUGUGCAAUUAAACACUAUGGCCCUGUCUAUAAAAUGGCAACAACACAUCCUGUAUUUCAUAUUGCCUAUGCCUACUUUAAAUGGUAAAAUCUGCAUAAGUGCCUGGCAUAGUGCUUGGCAUUUAAUGAUUGUUACGUGACUGUUCACAAAAUUUGAUAUCUCCUUUGAAAUAUAAACCAUACAUACGUAAAUUAUUAGACAAACCCACUGCCAAAUGUUGUUUUCUUAAUGAGAAGAAACUUUUAUUAACUGGAAAUAAUUUUCCAGGAUAUCCUGAAGAUAAUGAGGAUUCUUUUUUUUUGCUUUCCUUUAUUCCAGUUGCUGGUUGAUGGCUUGUUUGGGGCCAAGUCCUGUGGUGUAGGCUAGGGCAGACACAAAGAAGGCUAAUCCUUAAUUUCAAUCCAGAAGAAGUUGAUGAUUUUACAGUACGUCAGCAAGUAUAAUCUAAUGUGUGAUGGUGUGGUGUACUUUAAAAGAAGAAACUGAAAGGAAUUAUGGAAGAAUUCUAAUAGGAGUGAUCAAGUCCCAGAGAGUUAGGAAAUGUUUUGCAGAUAUCUGACCAUUUCAAGAUUGUUGCAUUUUUUAUGUCUAGGUACAUAUAAAUACACACACACACACACACACACACACACACACACCCUUUCUAAGAUUUUCUGUGAGAACUUUUAUUAUUUUUCUUUUGGAAAAAAUAUUUAUUUGAGGGAGAGAGAAAGAGAGAGUAUGAGUUGGGGGAAGGGCAGAGGGAGAAGCAGACUGAGCAGGGAUUCCCAAUGGGAUGUGCAGGGCUCCAUCCCAGGACCCUGAGAUCAUGACCUGAACCGAAGGCAGACGUGCUACCAGGUGGCCCAAUAUUUAUUUUUUUCCGAAGGGUGUUUUUUUGCUCAUUUUGGGGUAAAUACAUACAACGGAAUAUUAUUCAGCCUUCAAAAGGAAAUUCUGAUGCAGGCUACAAUACUACUGAAUCUUGAAGGCAUUAUGCUAAGUGCAAUAAGCCCAACACAAAAGAACAAAUACAGUGUGAUUCCACUUCUGUGACACACCAUUAAGUGGUGAAACUCAUAGAGACAGAAAGUAAAAGUGGUGGCCAGGGGCUGGGGGAGUAGGAAUGGGGAGUUAAUGUUCCAUGGUUACAGAAUUUCUGUUUGGAAAGAUAAAAAAAAAAUUCUGUAGAUGGAUGGUGGUGAUACUGCAAAACAGUAUGUGCUUAAUACCACUGAACUUUACACUUAAAAAUGGUUCAAAUGCAAAUUUUAUGUGAGGUAUAUUGUACCCAAUAAAAUAAAAGAAUAAAAAUUUUUGUUUU